GGAAGUAAAAGUCGUAACAAGGUUUCCGUAGGUGAACCUGCGGAAGGAUCAUUACCGAGUGAGGGCCCUCUGGGUCCAACCUCCCACCCGUGUUUAUUUUACCUUGUUGCUUCGGCGGGCCCGCCUUAACUGGCCGCCGGGGGGCUUACGCCCCCGGGCCCGCGCCCGCCGAAGACACCCUCGAACUCUGUCUGAAGAUUGUAGUCUGAGUGAAAAUAUAAAUUAUUUAAAACUUUCAACAACGGAUCUCUUGGUUCCGGCAUCGAUGAAGAACGCAGCGAAAUGCGAUACGUAAUGUGAAUUGCAAAUUCAGUGAAUCAUCGAGUCUUUGAACGCACAUUGCGCCCCCUGGUAUUCCGGGGGGCAUGCCUGUCCGAGCGUCAUUUCUGCCCUCAAGCACGGCUUGUGUGUUGGGCCCCGUCCUCCGAUCCCGGGGGACGGGCCCGAAAGGCAGCGGCGGCACCGCGUCCGGUCCUCGAGCGUAUGGGGCUUUGUCACCCGCUCUGUAGGCCCGGCCGGCGCUUGCCGAUCAACCCAAAUUUUUAUCCAGGUUGACCUCGGAUCAGGUAGGGAUACCCGCUGAACUUAAGCAUAUCAAUAAGCGGAGGAA
rnacentral:rRNA from 1 species